rnacentral:rRNA from 1 species
CCUACGGGUGGCAGCAGUGGGGAAUAUUGGUCAAUGGCCGCAGGGCUGAACCAGCGAAGUCGCGUGAGGGAUGACGGUCCUAUGGAUUGUAAACCUCUUUUGCCAGGGAGCAAAGGGCGCCACGUGUGGCGUUUUGCGAGUACCUGAAGAAAAAGCAUCGGCUAACUCCGUGCCAGCAGCCGCGGUAAUAGGGAGGAUGCGAGGGUUAUCCGGAUUUAUUGGGUUUAAAGGGUGCGCAGGCGGAAUGUCAAGUCAGAGGUAAAAUUUCGGGGCUCAACCCCGUCGUGCCGUUGAAACUGGCGUACGUGAGUGAGCGAGAAGUAUGCGGAAUGCGUGGUGUAGCGGUGAAAUGCAUAGAUAUCAAGAAGAACGCCGAUUGCGAAGGCAGCAUACCGGCGCUCAACUGACGCUCAUGCACGAAAGCGUGGGUAGCGAACAGGAUUAGAUACCCUUGUAGUC